rnacentral:rRNA from 1 species
UAACCUGCCUGGUAGCGGGGGGUAACUAUUGGAAACGAUAGCUAAUACCGCAUAACAUCGACAUUGCAUGAUGUUGAUUUGAAAGGGGCAAAUGCUCCACUACCAGACGGACCUGCGUUGUAUUAGCUAGUUGGUGAGGUAACGGCUCACCAAGGCGACGAUACAUAGCCGACCUGAGAGGGUGAUCGGCCACACUGGGACUGAGACACGGCCCAG